AUUUGGUGAUGAGGGCAAGAUGCACAUAGCUUCUUGAAUCUCUCCCAAUACUUAUACAAAAUUUUUCCAUUUUGCUGUCGAAUACCACAUAUUUCUUUCCUAAUGUU
rnacentral:snoRNA from 1 species